rnacentral:sRNA from 1 species
ACACAAGCGGCGCACCGUUAAGAUGGCGGCUGGGCUGCGGAAACGCGGCCGGUCCGGUUCCGCGGCCCAGGCAGCGGGACUCUGCAAGCAAUGGCUGCAGCGCGCCUGGCAAGAUCGGCGCCUGCUGCUGCGGGAGCCGCGCUACACGCUGCUGGUGGCCGCCUGCCUCUGCCUGGCGGAGGUACCCAGCUGGUUUCGUGUACAUCUUUAUGGGGUUGUACUAUGCCACCAGCCGAGGCACUGACAUCCGCAUGGCCCAGAACAUCUUUGCUGUGCUCUACCUGGCUACCUUGCUGCUUGUCUUCUUGAUCUAUCACCAGACCUGCAAGGUACCUCCCUUCGUCUUUUUCUUCAUGUGCUGCGCCUCUUACCGUGUCCACUCCAUCUUUGUGCUGCGGCUCUUCAAUGACCCAGUGGCUAUGGUGCUGCUCUUCCUCAGUAUCAACCUCCUGCUGGCCCAGCGCUGGGGCUGGGGCUGCUGCUUUUUCAGGUCAACACCUCUUCCUUCUGGCCCCCUCUCGUUUUCUGCAUUUCCAUCUCUUCCCAAUUUCCUGCAGCAGAUGGAGUAAAGGAGUAGCCAAGACAGCGUGGGUCACUCAGGGCUCCACAAAGCGAGUCCAGGAUCUAUAGAAAGUUUCUGCCCUGCCAUCCCCCAACAUACACACAUGCCCUCUUUCCAUCCUGUCUUCCUCCCAGACAGCAUUCCUUGUUGGAAUUAGUCCUUCACAUUCUAAAUACUCAGUAUAUGCUCAUUCGCAUAUAGUAGGCAUAGAGACUAUGCAUCUGCCUCCUGCCUACUCCAGGCUCUUCCCUCCAACAGUUGUGAGUGUAGGUCCCAUCCUGGAGUUUGCUGGCGUGGCGGCAGGGGGAGGUUGCUGUGGUGAUGGUGGGAGGUAUGUCUUUGGGUG